rnacentral:rRNA from 1 species
UUAAGCGACUAAGCGUACACGGUGGAUGCCCUGGCAGUCAGAGGCGAUGAAGGACGUGCUAAUCUGCGAUAAGCGUCGGUAAGGUGAUAUGAACCGUUAUAACCGGCGAUUUCCGAAUGGGGAAACCCAGUGUGAUUCGUCACACUAUCAUUAACUGAAUCCAUAGGUUAAUGAGGCGAACCGGGGGAACUGAAACAUCUAAGUACCCCGAGGAAAAGAAAUCAACCGAGAUUCCCCCAGUAGCGGCGAGCGAACGGGGAGCAGCCCAGAGCCUGAAUCAGUGUGUGUGUUAGUGGAAGCGUCUGGAAAGGCGCGCGAUACAGGGUGACAGCCCCGUACACAAAAAUGCACAUACUGUGAGCUCGAUGAGUAGGGCGGGACACGUGGUAUCCUGUCUGAAUAUGGGGGGACCAUCCUCCAAGGCUAAAUACUCCUGACUGACCGAUAGUGAACCAGUACCGUGAGGGAAAGGCGAAAAGAACCCCGGCGAGGGGAGUGAAAAAGAACCUGAAACCGUGUACGUACAAGCAGUGGGAGCACAGAGCAAUCUGUGUGACUGCGUACCUUUUGUAUAAUGGGUCAGCGACUUAUAUUCUGUAGCAAGGUUAACCGAAUAGGGGAGCCGAAGGGAAACCGAGUCUUAACUGGGCGUUAAGUUGCAGGGUAUAGACCCGAAACCCGGUGAUCUAGCCAUGGGCAGGUUGAAGGUUGGGUAACACUAACUGGAGGACCGAACCGACUAAUGUUGAAAAAUUAGCGGAUGACUUGUGGCUGGGGGUGAAAGGCCAAUCAAACCGGGAGAUAGCUGGUUCUCCCCGAAAGCUAUUUAGGUAGCGCCUCGUGAAUUCAUCUCCGGGGGUAGAGCACUGUUUCGGCAAGGGGGUCAUCCCGACUUACCAACCCGAUGCAAACUGCGAAUACCGGAGAAUGUUAUCACGGGAGACACACGGCGGGUGCUAACGUCCGUCGUGAAGAGGGAAACAACCCAGACCGCCAGCUAAGGUCCCAAAGUCAUGGUUAAGUGGGAAACGAUGUGGGAAGGCCCAGACAGCCAGGAUGUUGGCUUAGAAGCAGCCAUCAUUUAAAGAAAGCGUAAUAGCUCACUGGUCGAGUCGGCCUGCGCGGAAGAUGUAACGGGGCUAAACCAUGCACCGAAGCUGCGGCAGCGACGCUUAUGCGUUGUUGGGUAGGGGAGCGUUCUGUAAGCCUUUGAAGGUGUACUGUGAGGUAUGCUGGAGGUAUCAGAAGUGCGAAUGCUGACAUAAGUAACGAUAAAGCGGGUGAAAAGCCCGCUCGCCGGAAGACCAAGGGUUCCUGUCCAACGUUAAUCGGGGCAGGGUGAGUCGACCCCUAAGGCGAGGCCGAAAGGCGUAGUCGAUGGGAAACAGGUUAAUAUUCCUGUACUUGGUGUUACUGCGAAGGGGGGACGGAGAAGGCUAUGUUGGCCGGGCGACGGUUGUCCCGGUUUAAGCGUGUAGGCUGGUUUUCCAGGCAAAUCCGGAAAAUCAAGGCUGAGGCGUGAUGACGAGGCACUACGGUGCUGAAGCAACAAAUGCCCUGCUUCCAGGAAAAGCCUCUAAGCAUCAGGUAACAUCAAAUCGUACCCCAAACCGACACAGGUGGUCAGGUAGAGAAUACCAAGGCGCUUGAGAGAACUCGGGUGAAGGAACUAGGCAAAAUGGUGCCGUAACUUCGGGAGAAGGCACGCUGAUAUGUAGGUGAAGCGACUUGCUCGUGGAGCUGAAAUCAGUCGAAGAUACCAGCUGGCUGCAACUGUUUAUUAAAAACACAGCACUGUGCAAACACGAAAGUGGACGUAUACGGUGUGACGCCUGCCCGGUGCCGGAAGGUUAAUUGAUGGGGUUAGCGCAAGCGAAGCUCUUGAUCGAAGCCCCGGUAAACGGCGGCCGUAACUAUAACGGUCCUAAGGUAGCGAAAUUCCUUGUCGGGUAAGUUCCGACCUGCACGAAUGGCGUAAUGAUGGCCAGGCUGUCUCCACCCGAGACUCAGUGAAAUUGAACUCGCUGUGAAGAUGCAGUGUACCCGCGGCAAGACGGAAAGACCCCGUGAACCUUUACUAUAGCUUGACACUGAACAUUGAGCCUUGAUGUGUAGGAUAGGUGGGAGGCUUUGAAGUGUGGACGCCAGUCUGCAUGGAGCCGACCUUGAAAUACCACCCUUUAAUGUUUGAUGUUCUAACGUUGACCCGUGAUCCGGGUUGCGGACAGUGUCUGGUGGGUAGUUUGACUGGGGCGGUCUCCUCCUAAAGAGUAACGGAGGAGCACGAAGGUUGGCUAAUCCUGGUCGGACAUCAGGAGGUUAGUGCAAUGGCAUAAGCCAGCUUGACUGCGAGCGUGACGGCGCGAGCAGGUGCGAAAGCAGGUCAUAGUGAUCCGGUGGUUCUGAAUGGAAGGGCCAUCGCUCAACGGAUAAAAGGUACUCCGGGGAUAACAGGCUGAUACCGCCCAAGAGUUCAUAUCGACGGCGGUGUUUGGCACCUCGAUGUCGGCUCAUCACAUCCUGGGGCUGAAGUAGGUCCCAAGGGUAUGGCUGUUCGCCAUUUAAAGUGGUACGCGAGCUGGGUUUAGAACGUCGUGAGACAGUUCGGUCCCUAUCUGCCGUGGGCGCUGGAGAACUGAGGGGGGCUGCUCCUAGUACGAGAGGACCGGAGUGGACGCAUCACUGGUGUUCGGGUUGUCAUGCCAAUGGCACUGCCCGGUAGCUAAAUGCGGAAGAGAUAAGUGCUGAAAGCAUCUAAGCACGAAACUUGCCCCGAGAUGAGUUCUCCCUGACUCCUUGAGAGUCCUGAAGGAACGUUGAAGACGACGACGUUGAUAGGCCGGGUGUGUAAGCGCAGCGAUGCGUUGAGCUAACCGGUACUAAUGAACCGUGAGGCUUAACCU